rnacentral:rRNA from 1 species
UACAGAGGGUGCGAGCGUUGUCCGGAAUCACUGGGCGUAAAGGGCGCGUAGGCGGUCCGGUAAGCGUGUGGUGAAAGCCCGGGGCUCAACCCCGGGUCGGCCGUGCGAACUGCUGUGACUCGAGCACUGUAGAGGCAGGCGGAAUUCCGGGUGUAGCGGUGGAAUGCGUAGAGAUCCGGAAGAACACCGGUGGCGAAGGCGGCCUGCUGGGCAGUGACUGACGCUGAGGCGCGACAGCGUGGGGAGCAAACAGGAUUAGAAACCCCCGUAGUCC